AGGCGGCAGGCUUAUCACCAAACGCCCUAUUCCUCCUAAUAGAGUGGCCGUCGCCUGCGGUGGUAGUAGAACCCAAACACGCCUCGAUUUCUGUCUCGUCCAUAUUCGGAACCACCACCGCGAUGACCUCCUCCUCCGCUCUCGUCCUCACCACUACUUUUCUGUUCCCUCUGAACCACCGCCCCACGUUUCUCGCUAUUCCGUCCCAUCUCAGCAGCAGCGAUGGCCAUCGAAGGAGCCGUGCCGGCCCCCAGGGAAAGUGGAAGUGCUGCUCCACCGCUAAGGACAAGUCGGCCUCUACGCAGCAGAGGCAGCGAAAGCCGCCGCGCCGUUCCUUAAGCGGGAAAUCAGAGCCGGACGUUGACCCCAUUGGCUUUCUCUCCAAGUUCGCCAUCUCCCACCGCGGUUUUGCUCAGUUCCUUCGUGAGCGGUACAAGGCCUUGAAGGACCGCAGAUUUGAGUUAUACUCUCGGUUUAUAGAUCUGAAGGAGUCAGCUUCGGGGUAUGAAAUUUUGGGCAUGCAUAGGCAUAGGCAGCAUCGGGUGGACUACAUGGAGUGGGCCCCAGGUGCUCGAUAUUGUUCGCUUGUUGGUGACUUCAAUGGAUGGUCAGCAACAGAAAAUAGUGCAAGAGAUGGACACUUAGGGCAUGAUGAUUUUGGUUAUUGGUUUAUCAUUCUUGAAGAUAAGCUAAGAGAUGGUGAAGAACCAGAUGAAUACUUCUUUCAAGAGUACAAUUAUAUGGAUGAUUAUGACAAAGGUGACAGUAAUAUUAAUGUUGAAGAACUUCUUAGAAGAAUAAAUGAUGAAUAUUGGGAACCUGGAGAGGUUUGGCCCCGUAAGUCACGUAUGGAGAUGGUUUCUAAGUUGUAUGAACAGAUGUUUGGCCCCAAUAGUCCCCAGACUGAUGAAGAACUAGGUGAAAUACUUGAUGCUGAAACACGUUACAAGCAAUGGAAAGAAGUCUCAAAAUUUGAUCAUGUCAACGACAGGCCUCGCUUUGAUGUCAUUGAUGAUGGGAAGGAGUUUGAUAUCUUCAGUGUUAAAGGUGAUCCAGUAUCAGCAGAGAAAUUUAAAUCUAAGAAACCUCCUCUUGCUUACUGGAUAGAAAUGCGAAAAGGACGUAAGGCAUGGUUGAAAAAAUACAUGCCCGCUAUUUCACAUGGAAGUAGGUAUAAAGUUUAUUUUAAUACUCCUGAUGGAGCAUUGGAAAGAGUUCCAGCUUGGGCUACAUAUGUUCUACCAGAAGCAGAUGGAAAAGAAGCUUAUGCAGUUUAUUGGGAACCUCCUCCAGAGGAUAUGUACAAGUGGAAGUAUAAGAGGCCCAAAACUCCAAAGUCUCUUCGUAUAUAUGAGUGCCAUGUUGGGAUAAGUGGAUCGGAACCAAAAAUAUCAUCCUUUAAUGAGUUUACUUCCAAGGUUCUUCCACAUGUGAAAAAUGCAGGAUACAAUGCUAUCCAGUUAUUUGGGGUUGUUGAGCAUUGGGACUAUUCUUCUGUUGGUUACAAAGUUACAAAUUUUUUUGCUGUUAGUAGUAGAUUUGGGACUCCUGAUGACUUCAAGCAGUUGGUUGAUGAGGCACAUGGGCUUGGAAUUCUAGUGUUUCUAGAUGUUGUUCAUUCCUAUGCUUCAGCAGAUGAAUCAGCUGGGUUGUCACUAUUUGAUGGAUCAAAUGAUUGCUACUUCCAUACUGGUAAACGGGGUCAUCAUAAAUAUUGGGGUACCAGGAUGUUCAAAUAUGGUGAUGUUGAUGUGUUGCACUUUCUUUUGUCAAACUUGAAGUGGUGGGUUGCAGAAUAUCAGGUUGAUGGCUUCCAGUUUCACUCACUCCCAUCAAUGAUGUAUACUCAUAAUGGUUUUGCUACAUUUACUGGUGACAUCGAGGAGUAUUGCAAUCAAUAUGUUGAUAAAGACGCUUUAUUGUACCUUAUUCUAGCAAAUGAGAUGCUGCAUGAACUUUAUCCAGAUAUCAUCACAAUUGCAGAAGAUGCCACAUUUUAUCCUGGAUUAUGUGAACCAACAACUCAAGGUGGCUUGGGAUUUGACUACUGGAUCAACUUUUCAGUUUCUGAGUUGUGGCUGUGGCUUCUUGAGAAUGUCCCUGAUCAGGACUGGAGCAUGAAUAAGAUUGUGAGUGUGCUUUUGACCAACCAACAAAGCCAUCAUAAGAUGCUUUUGUAUGCUGAGAAUCAUAAUCAGUCAAUAUCAGGAGGGCGGUCCUUUGCGGAAAUUUUGUUCAGCAAGGCUGAUGAGCAAAUCAUUGAAUCUGAUAAUGUUCUAUUUAGGGGAGCUUCACUGCAUAAGAUGAUCAAGUUACUGACAUUCACAAUGAGUGGAAGUGCUUACCUCAAUUUUAUGGGAAAUGAAUUUGCACACCCAAAUAGAGUUGAGUUUCCAGUCCCAAGCAACAAGUUUUCGUUUGCUUUGGCAAACCGUCAUUGGGAUUUGUUAAUGGAUGAAGUGCACAGGCAACUUUUUAAUUUUGAUAAGGAUAUGAUGAGGAUAGAUGAGGAUGAGAAUAUACUUUCAAGUGGACCACCAAAGGUGCACCAUAUUAAUGACUCUAACAUGGUUAUAUCCUACAACAGAGGACCGCUAUUUUUUGUGUUCAACUUUCAUCCUACAAUUUGUUAUGAAGCUUAUUGUGUCGGUGUAGAAGAAGCAGGGGAAUAUCAGUUAAUACUCAAUACUGAUGAAGUCAGUUACGGAGGACUCGGGAUGCUUAAGAGAGACCCGUAUCUUCAAAGGACUAGCACCAAAAGGACUGAUGGCCACAGAAACUCGUUGGAAGUGUCAUUGCCUCGUAGAAGCGCCCAGGUCUACAAAUUGACGAGAAUUUUGACAACAUGAAGCCGAUGGAAUCUUGGAAAUUUUGAUUAUAUAUUCAAUUGAGGUGAUCGGCUGAGGCGACUACGGGGCUAACAUUUUGGCGUUUUGGAACAUUCUGGUUCGUUUUGACAAACUACAGAUCCAAGUGAAUACGAAUGCCACUAUGCAAGUCUGACUGUAGGUCCAUAAGAGCCAAAUUCCGUACCAUCUUACUACUAAUCAAUGCUGUCAUCCCGGUGUAUAAUAUCUUUUUCUGCAUGGGGUUUGCAUCGAAGAACUCAAAAGGUUCUCUGUUAUGGAGGAUGUUGCGUGGAAGAAGUCUUUUCCUUGCGCGCGACUUUGUCGCAUUUCGCAUGUGAACCUCGUGUUCGUUUGGACAUGCGUGUACCAUUCUGAACAUGAGGGAACAAAAGGGACUCGGAUCGAGUCUUAAAAGCCCAGCUUCCGGUUCCCAAGUGACGAUCCGGCCGUCAUGUAGCAAGGUGUCAGUGUGCCACUGGUGUGUGUUGUGUGGGCUGAUAAGCUACUUCAGCUGCUGCAGAAUGGUUUCAUAUCUUCAUCGCUUUCCGGCAACUUCAAAAUAUCUGUCAACGAGGAAAGGAAUCCAGUAAGUCACUGUCCUGAAAUGUUUAAUGGUUUCAAGUAACAGGUGGAAAUCAUGAGUCCUGAAAUGUUUAUUUCUUAUAUAUUUUCUAAUCACAUGUGACGACCAUGCCGUUGUA